GCGGAGGAUCAUUACCGAGUUUACAACUCCCAAACCCCUGUGAACAUACCACUUGUUGCCUCGGCGGAUCAGCCCGCUCCCGGUAAAACGGGACGGCCCGCCAGAGGACCCCUAAACUCUGUUUCUAUAUGUAACUUCUGAGUAAAACCAUAAAUAAAUCAAAACUUUCAACAACGGAUCUCUUGGUUCUGGCAUCGAUGAAGAACGCAGCAAAAUGCGAUAAGUAAUGUGAAUUGCAGAAUUCAGUGAAUCAUCGAAUCUUUGAACGCACAUUGCGCCCGCCAGUAUUCUGGCGGGCAUGCCUGUUCGAGCGUCAUUUCAACCCUCAAGCCCUCGGGUUUGGUGUUGGGGAUCGGCGAGCCCUUGCGGCAAGCCGGCCCCGAAAUCUAGUGGCGGUCUCGCUGCAGCCUCCAUUGCGUAGUAGUAAAACCCUCGCAACUGGAACGCGGCGCGGCCAAGCCGUUAAACCCCCAACUUCUGAAUGUUGACCUCGGAUCAGGUAGGAAUACCCGCUGAACUUAAGCAUAUCAAUAAGCGGAGGAAAAGAAACCAACAGGGAUUGCCCUAGUAACGGCGAGUGAAGCGGCAACAGCUCAAAUUUGAAAUCUGGCUCUCGGGCCCGAGUUGUAAUUUGUAGAGGAUGCUUUUGAUGCGGUGCCUUCCGAGUUCCCUGGAACGGGACGCCAUAGAGGGUGAGAGCCCCGUCUGGUUGGAUGCCAAAUCUCUGUAAAGCUCCUUCAACGAGUCGAGUAGUUUGGGAAUGCUGCUCUAAAUGGGAGGUAUAUGUCUUCUAAAGCUAAAUACCGGCCAGAGACCGAUAGCGCACAAGUAGAGUGAUCGAAAGAUGAAAAGCACUUUGAAAAGAGAGUUAAAAAGUACGUGAAAUUGUUGAAAGGGAAGCGUUUAUGACCAGACUUGGGCUUGGUUAAUCAUCUGGGGUUCUCCCCAGUGCACUUUUCCAGUCCAGGCCAGCAUCAGUUUUCCCCGGGGGAUAAAGGCGGCGGGAAUGUGGCUCUCUUCGGGGAGUGUUAUAGCCCGCCGUGUAAUACCCU
rnacentral:rRNA from 1 species